GCGGCGCAGGUUUGGACAAUAUAUUCUUGUUCUUGUUUUUGCUGUUAGAUUUUCCAGUAAAACAUCUCCACCUUCACUGAGCAGUCAGAGGAGGGACGAUACAAGAGCCAUCACAGUAGUCCAUGGGUUCCUGGGUUUAUGUUCAUCCUGGGUCCAAAUGGAUUUGCUUCAGGUGCUCCUGUUUCCUUCCACCCUCCAAAACCAUGGCAGUAGGUGGACUGGCAAAGAUGAACAGCCUGAAGAGUUGCAGUAAUUUUCAUCCAAGAUCUUGUAUUGAUGAUGGGAGCGUCGGACCGCUGGGUCUUCUCCAGCACAUCCCAAAGGUUCUCAA